UACGUAGGGCGCAAGCGUUAUCCGGAAUUAUUGGGCGUAAAGAGCUCGUAGGCGGUUUGUCGCGUCUGCCGUGAAGUCCGGGCUCAACUCCGGAUCUGCGGUGGUACGGGCAGACUAGAGUGAUGUAGGGGAGACUGGAAUUCCUGGUGUAGCGGUGAAAUGCGCAGAUAUCAGGAGGAACACCGAUGGCGAAGGCAGGUCUCGUGGGCAUUAACUGACGCUGAGGAGCGAAAGCAUGGGGAGCGAACAGG
rnacentral:rRNA from 1 species